CACAUGAUGGUAAAUGACUACGGGGAAAGGUAAGGUUUCCUCUACAGGUCUCCCAACUCGUGGUUAGACACAUGAUGGUAAAUGACCACGGGGAAAGGUAAGGUUUCCUCUACAGGCCUCCCAACUCGUGGUUAGACACAUGAUGGUAAAUGACCACGGGGAAAGGUAAGGUUUCCUCUACAGGCCUCCCAACUCGUGGUUAGACACAUGAUGGUAAAUGACCACGGGGAAAGGUAAGGUUUCCUCUACAGGCCUCCCAACUCGUGGUUAGACACAUGAUGGUAAAUGACCACGGGGAAAGGUAAGGUUUCCUCUACAGGCCUCCCAACUCGUGGUUAGACACAUGAUGGUAAAUGACCACUGGGGAAAGGUAAGGUUUCCUCUACAGGCCUCCCAACUCGUGGUUAGACACAUGAUGGUAAAUGACCACGGGGAAAGGUAAGGUUUCCUCUACAGGCCUCCCAACUCGUGGUUAGACACAUGAUGGUAAAUGACCACGGGGAAAGGUAAGGUUUCCUCUACAGGUCUCCCAACUCGUGGUUAGACACAUGAUGGUAAAUGACCACGGGGAAAGGUAAGGUUUCCUCUACAGGCCUCCCAACUCGUGGUUAGACACAUGAUGGUAAAUGACCACGGGGAAAGGUAAGGUUUCCUCUACAGGCCUCCCAACUCGUGGUUAGACACAUGAUGGUAAAUGACCACGGGGAAAGGUAAGGUUUCCUCUACAGGCCUCCCAACUCGUGGUUAGACACAUGAUGGUAAAUGACCACGGGGAAAGGUAAGGUUUCCUCUACAUGCCUCCCAACUCGUGGUUAGACACAUGAUGGUAAAUGACCACGGGGAAAGGUAAGGUUUCCUCUACAGGCCUCCCAACUCGUGGUUAGACACAUGAUGGUAAAUGACCACUGGGGAAAGGUAAGGUUUCCUCUACAGGCCUCCCAACUCGUGGUUAGACACAUGAUGGUAAAUGACCACUGGUGUAUUUUCAUGUGACUGUGUUGUGUUGGAACUC